UACGGAGGGCGCGAGCGUUAAUCGGAAUUACUGGGCGUAAAGCGCGCGUAGGCUGUUGUGUAAGUUGGGGGUGAAAUCCCACGGCUCAACCGUGGAACAGCCCUUGAUACUGCGCGACUUGAAUCCGGGAGAGGGUGGCGGAAUUCCGGGUGUAGGAGUGGAAUCCGUAGAUAUCUGGAGGAACAUCAGUGGCGAAGGCGGCCACCUGGACCGGUAUUGACGCUGAGGCGCGAAAGCGUGGGGAGCAAACAGG
rnacentral:rRNA from 1 species